UAUUCUCCAUUGUCAUUUUUUCCAACACGUGUUCUAACGCGAAUUGUCGGUGGCUCAAGAGAUUCUGCCAGACCAAAGGUUGCCCGAUGAUAUAAAGAUCCUGUCUGUAUCACAAUUAUAUGAUCAUCCCUGAAAGAAGGCAUCGUUUUCCCAAACCGAUUGCUUUGGUUGUGCUAUGGAUGAAUUGUGGUUUACGAUACAAGUCAUACUACUCACUAAUCUGCAUGUAAAGGUUGUUGAAAUGUAAGUGAUGGAUACCUUUUCUAUAUUAUGCUGAGAAUAUUAUCUAAAGGAAAUGAUUUUAAAAGCUCAAUUAAAUUGACUGCACAAAUUUUUGGAAUUUGGUGAAGAAGGAUAAGUUCGGAAGUUGCCCAGUGGUAAUAGGACCAAGAUAAUUAAUACGAUGAAAGCAAAGAGAGAAUAGCGGAAAGGACGCUGUAUCAGACCCUACUUAGACCAAAUAUAGAAAGGGUAACACCCUUUCUAUCAAUCAGUACUAAAAUAUUUAAGGACAAACGGCUUUUUAAACUGGAAGGACAAAAGUCUUUGACAUUAUAAUACAUAUAUAUAUAUAUAUAUAUAUAUAUAUAUAUAUAUACAUACAUACACAAGAUGGUAGAAAGUCAAUAUUCCGCCAUUAGAAAUGAAUAUACAAAACUGCUGUAAAAUGUACUGUGAAUUUGGUAAGCGAGACUAGCCCUUUAGAUUCCUCCUAUCUAUUUCAGAUUAAAGCAAAAAGGAAUAUUUAAUUCUUCAUUUUAAAGGGAUCAAAAGAAGUAUUAAGAAAAUGAAUUAAUACCGGAGUCUAAGAUCGUUAGAGGUCCAAUUUCUUUAUUUUAGUUUUUUUACAGGUAGGAGGAAACAAAAGAAAUAGAGCAAUAAAUAUUGAGAUUCAGGAUUGCUGCCAAUCAAAAAAGAUAAAGGGAAAAAUGAAAUAUGAAGAAAAUAAGCAAGCGUCAUAAUAGUUUUAGGGAUUCAAAAUUGAAAAAGUCGGCGCUAGAAAAAGUGGUAUUUUCAUUUCCCCAUUAUUAAAAAAAAAAGACAUCAACCGGGCAAGAGAACUUGUAAAAAAAAGUUAUGUAAUGUGGAUAUGUAUAAA